GAUUAUGGCUCAGGAUGAACGCUAGCGACAGGCUUAACACAUGCAAGUCGAGGGGCAGCACGAUGUAGCAAUACAUUGGUGGCGACCGGCGCACGGGUGAGUAACGCGUAUGCAACCUACCUAUCAGAGGGGAAUAACCCGGCGAAAGUCGGACUAAUACCGCAUAAAACAGGGGUUCCACAUGGAAAUAUUUGUUAAAGAAUUAUCGCUGAUAGAUGGGCAUGCGUUCCAUUAGAUAG
rnacentral:rRNA from 1 species